rnacentral:rRNA from 1 species
UACGUAGGUGGCAAGCGUUGUCCGGAUUUACUGGGCGUAAAGAGCGCGCAGGCGGUCGCUCAAGUCGCGUGUGAAAGCCCCCGGCUCAACUGGGGAGGGUCACGCGAUACUAUUCGACUCGAAGGCAGGAGAGGGAAGUGGAAUUCCCGGUGUAGUGGUGAAAUGCGUAGAUAUCGGGAGGAACACCAGUGGCGAAGGCGACUUCCUGGCCUGUUCUUGACGCUGAGGCGCGAAAGCUAGGGUAGCAAACGGG